rnacentral:rRNA from 1 species
GGCGGGACACGUGGUAUCCUGUCUGAAUAUGGGGGGACCAUCCUCCAAGGCUAAAUACUCCUGACUGACCGAUAGUGAACCAGUACCGUGAGGGAAAGGCGAAAAGAACCCCGGCGAGGGGAGUGAAAAAGAACCUGAAACCGUGUACGUACAAGCAGUGGGAGCACGCUUCGGCGUGUGACUGCGUACCUUUUGUAUAAUGGGUCAGCGACUUAUAUUCUGUAGCAAGGUUAACCGAAUAGGGGAGCCGAAGGGAAACCGAGUCUUAACUGGGCGUUAAGUUGCAGGGUAUAGACCCGAAACCCGGUGAUCUAGCCAUGGGCAGGUUGAAGGUUGGGUAACACUAACUGGAGGACCGAACCGACUAAUGUUGAAAAAUUAGCGGAUGACUUGUGGCUGGGGGUGAAAGGCCAAUCAAACCGGGAGAUAGCUGGUUCUCCCCGAAAGCUAUUUAGGUAGCGCCUCGUGAAUUCAUCUCCGGGGGUAGAGCACUGUUUCGGCAAGGGGGUCAUCCCGACUUACCAACCCGAUGCAAACUGCGAAUACCGGAGAAUGUUAUCACGGGAGACACACGGCGGGUGCUAACGUCCGUCGUGAAGAGGGAAACAACCCAGACCGCCAGCUAAGGUCCCAAAGUCAUGGUUAAGUGGGAAACGAUGUGGGAAGGCCCAGACAGCCAGGAUGUUGGCUUAGAAGCAGCCAUCAUUUAAAGAAAGCGUAAUAGCUCACUGGUCGAGUCGGCCUGCGCGGAAGAUGUAACGGGGCUAAACCAUGCACCGAAGCUGCGGCAGCGACACUAUGUGUUGUUGGGUAGGGGAGCGUUCUGUAAGCCUGUGAAGGUGUACUGUGAGGUAUGCUGGAGGUAUCAGAAGUGCGAAUGCUGACAUAAGUAACGAUAAAGCGGGUGAAAAGCCCGCUCGCCGGAAGACCAAGGGUUCCUGUCCAACGUUAAU